UAGGGAAUCUUCGGCAAUGGACGGAAGUCUGACCGAGCAACGCCGCGUGAGUGAAGAAGGUUUUCGGAUCGUAAAGCUCUGUUGUCAGAGAAGAACGUUGGUAGGAGUGGAAAAUCUACCAAGUGACGGUAACUAACCAGAAAGGGACGGCUAACUACGUGCCAGCCGCCGCGGUAAUACGUAGGUCCCGAGCGUUGUCCGGAUUUAUUGGGCGUAAAGCGAGCGCAGGCGGUUCUUUAAGUCUGAAGUUAAAGGCAGUGGCUUAACCAUUGUACGCUUUGGAAACUGGAGGACUUGAGUGCAGAAGGGGAGAGUGGAAUUCCAUGUGUAGCGGUGAAAUGCGUAGAUAUAUGGAGGAACACCGGUGGCGAAAGCGGCUCUCUGGUCUGUAACUGACGCUGAGGCUCGAAAGCGUGGGGAGCAAACAGG
rnacentral:rRNA from 1 species